CAUACCUCCUGCAGCAGGGUCACCUCAUACUCCUGCAGCUGCUGCUGGAAGCCAAAGUUGGGGCUGACGUAGGACCGUACAGCCUUGGUGGCAGCCAGGCAGCCCUCCCAGCCGAGCUCAGUCACUGUCAUGAGAGCAGGCAGCAUCCCCCAGAGCCUGCACAGGUCCAAGCUCUCCAGAUCCCAGUCCUCUACUUCAGCCCCUUGGCUAGGACCGGCAGGGAUACAUCACCUUGCUUGCGGGGACCUGAUGCUGUUGCCUCCAGCUCCCUUGACACACUUGGUGCCAGCCUCCAGCCCUCCCUGUCUGUGCAGCAUCACUCUCCCAACCCAUCCCAGAGGGACAGAGCUGACCCGUAGGUGAGGGGAAAGGCACAAUCCACUUUCGGGUACCAUCACCCCAUUCCCUGUGGGUAGGGAGAACCAUGCUGCAUUGCAUCCAUCCCAUCCUGGGCUAUUGCCCUCAUUUCAGCCCGGAGGAGAGGCCAGACUGUGAGAAACAGCUAUGAUGCUCAGAAGCCCCCCCAAAACUGAGCCACCCCUUUCCCAGGGCCCCAGCCAGCGAGCCCCAUCAGGAAGACAUGUAUGAACAUGCACUGAUGAAGUCACUCUCAUUAAUGACUUAUUUCCUCCCAGUCCUUUUAAUACACAAUAAAUCAUCCUGCCACAUGUUGGCGUGGGUCAGAUUCCUUUAAAACGCCGCUUCCUCGAUCCUCCCUGUUCUGAGUUAAAAUUAGAUCCUUUUCAUCUGAGUUUUUUGGGGUUUUUUUCUUUCUUAGAAAAAUGGGUGGAAAUCCUGCCAGCCAGAGCUGAAACAUUGAAGCACCAGGGAUUGCUCCAUCUCCAUCAGCUCCCUGUGGCAUCGGUGCCCAAAGGUCCUCCCUGGGCAACCCAGCCUCACAGGCCAACCUUGCUUCCCUCCAGCCUGGGGCAAAUCGGGAGGCUGGAAAAAGCUGACUAUUUAAGGAGAGAAGGGACAGAGCAAGAUGGGCACAGGGAUAUUUCUGCACUGGAAAGACCUGUGUUGCAAGGAUGAGCACGGGCAG